GAUGAACGCUAGCGGCAGGCUUAAUACAUGCAAGUUGAGGGGCAGCAUGAUAUACGCGAGUAUAUUGAUGGCGACCGGCGGACGGGUGAGUAAUAGGUAGGAGACCUACCUCAUACAGGGGGAUAGCAUAGAGAAAUCUGUGGUAAUACCCCAUGAGGUUAUAUGAAUAGAGGCAUAUAAUCAAAGCAUAAGCGAUUAUGCGGUAUGAGAGGGGCCUACUGACCAUUAGCUAGUUGGUGAGGUAAGGGCUCACCAAGGCGAAGAUGGUUAGGGGUUUUGAGAGAGAGACCCCCCACAUUGGAACUGAGAGACGGUCCAGACUCCUACGGGAGGCAGCAGUAGGGAAUAUUGGGCAAUGGGCGAAAGCCUGACCCAGCCAUGCCGCGUGAAGGAAGACGGCCUUAUGGGGUUGUAAACUUCUUUACUACGCGAAUAGAGGUUAGUACGAGAUACUAAUAGGAAGGUAGUGUAGUGAAAAGCACCGGCUAACU
rnacentral:rRNA from 1 species